rnacentral:rRNA from 1 species
GAUGAACGCUGGCGGCGUGCUUAACACAUGCAAGUCGAACGGACAGACGCUGCGCUUGCGGGUUUCUCGUUUGCCGCACGCGUGUGUAUCACGUGAGGAUCCUCCCCUUGUCUGUGGGAUAACUUCACGAAACUGGGGCUAAUAUCGGAUAGGAGCUCUUGCUGCACGUUGGUGGUUGGAAAGUUUCGGCGGUUGGGGAUGGUCUCGCUGCUUCUCAGCUUGUUGGGCGGGUAGUGGCUUACCAGGGCUUUGACGGGUAGCCGGCCUGAGAGGGUGACCGGCCACAUUGGGACUGAGAUACGGCCCAGAAUCCUACGGGAGGCAGCAGUGGGGAAUAUUGCACAAUGGGCGGAAGCCUGAUGCAGCAACGCCGCGUGCGGGAUGACGGCCUUCGGGUUGUAAACCGCUUUCGCCUGUGACGAAGCGUGAGUGACGGUAAUGGGUAAAGAAGCACCGGCUAACUACGUG